ACAUCUGUACGUUGCAAUCUGUGGAUCAGCUACGAGAUGGAUAUCUGAGAGCCAGCGAACUUUCUUUACCUCCUAGUAUCAUUUCAUGAAAAUUAGUAGCACCUGCACAAUGGGGCCUUGGAGACAGGAAUAAAAGGAAAAAUCUGGAAUGGAAUCACAUGACGCAACAGGCUAUGAAGACUCCCUGCCCGGCUGCUAUAUGUCUGGUAAACAGAAUAAAUAGUACUUGAGCAUCCCUGACUCUGAGACUGUGGGGUAGCUGGUUGUUUUAAGAUGGGACCAGGGUAUUGUGCACUUAUUGCCAAUUCUUGCUUCAGUAAGUGGGGUGGCUGUGCAGAGUGAGUGGCCUGUGUAUGAACCAGGGUCCGUCCCAUCUAAUGAGAGUCCGGUCAGGCUGAGUCCUCACCAAGACUUCAGCGUGGAUUCAUCAGUAACCUUGGUUCACUGGCAGGCUUGCUGGACUUUGGAGAAAAGGCUGACCCUCCCCCAAAGCAGCCCAUUGCUGCCACUGCCCUAGGAACAGAGGGCCUGGAGCCAGGGCUUGACCUGGUACAGGAGCUUUUGCACAAGGCCGGCUCAAACCUCCAAACCUGGGGAAACAGGAUGCAUGGUGAAGUGAAGAAGAAAGAAAAUGCAUCCACCGUUCCUUCCUGUUGGUGUCAGCACGAUGAGGAAUAAUUACCUGGAUCUGGAAAGCAGGCGUGUGGGAGGCUGCAGGCCCCCCUGAUCUGUGUAGUUAGGCACUUAAUUUUUCAUCCUCCUCCUUCUCUCUGCCCUCCCGAAACCGCCGUUUUCAAAGGAAAAACAGAAAAACGUAUCUGGGUAACCCGUGUAAUACUGUUUACAUCAGCCCACUUGGCCCAGAAAGGAUACCAGCUCCUUACUGAUGCUCAGAUAACAGGGUUAGUGCUUAAAAAAAUUAUGCCUUGGGCCGGGUGCGGUGGCUCACGCCUAUAAUCCCAGCACUUUGGGAGGCUGAGGUGGGUGGAUCACAAGGUCAAGAGAUCAAGACCAUCCUGGCCAACCAACAUAGUGAACCUGUCUCUACUAAAAAUACAAAAAGUAGCUGGGCGUAGUGGCGCAUGCCUGUAGUCCCAGCUGCUCGGGAGGCUGAGGCAGGAGAGUCGUUUAGGCCUGGCAGGCGGAGGUUGCAGUGAGCUGAGAUUGCGCCACACUGCACUCCAGCCCAGGCGGUGGAGUGAGUCUCCAUCUCAAAAAAAAAAA
rnacentral:lncRNA from 1 species